rnacentral:rRNA from 1 species
CCUACGGGUGGCUGCAGUGAGGAAUAUUGGUCAAUGGGCGAGAUCCUGAACCAGCCAAGCCGCGUGCGGGAUGACGGCCCUAUGGGUUGUAAACUUCUUUUGUCGGGGAACAACGCCCCUGACGUGUCCCGGAUUGCGUGUACCCGAUGAAUAAGCAUCGGCUAAUUCCGUGCCAGCAGCCGCGGUAAUACGGAGGAUGCGGUGGUUAUCCGGAUUUAUUGGGUUUAAAGGGUGCGUAGGCGGACCGUUAAGUCAGCGGUAAAAUUUCGGGGUUCAACCCCGCCGUGCCGUUGAAACUGGCAGACUUGAGUGGGCGAGAAGAACGCGGAAUGCGCGGUGUAGCGGUGAAAUGCAUAGAUAUCGCGAAGAACCCCGAUUGCGAAGGCAGCUUACUGGCGCCGCACUGACGCUGAGGCACGAAAGCGUGGGGAUCGAACAGGAUUAGAUACCCUUGUAGUC